GGUAAUGCAUCGGAACGUGCCCAUCGAUGGGGGAUAACUGCGCGAAAGCGUUGCUAAUACCGCAUACGACCUACGGGUGAAAGCAGGGGACCGCAAGGCCUUGCGUCGAUGGAGCGGCCGAUGCCGGAUUAGCUAGUUGGUGAGGUAAAGGCUCACCAAGGCGACGAUCCCGUAGCUGGUCUGAGAGGACGACCAGCCACACUGGGACUGAGACACGGCCCAGACUCCUACGGGAGGCAGCAGUGGGGAAUCUUGGACAAUGGGCGAAAGCCUGAUCCAGCAAUGCCGCGUGUGGGAAGAAGGCCUUCGGGUUGUAAACCACUUUUGGCGGGAAAGAAAUGGUCUGUGCUAAUACCACGGAUUGAUGACGGUACCCGCAGAAUAAGCACCGGCUAACUACGUG
rnacentral:rRNA from 1 species